GAAAACAAAUCUCCCUUAUGAAAAAUAGCCUCCCUGUAUUAAGAAGUAAAAAGACAUCCUUAUCAACAGAAAUAGGGACCUUAAAGUCAAGAAAGCUAUUCCCCAUAGUGCCGGCGGGACAAGACUGGUGAGGUCACAGGGCUUGGUACUGUUGAAAUGCCUUCAUUCUCUGAAACUGAGGGUCUUUAAGAAUGAUUUAAUAUUGAGAGGAAAAACAUCUACAACUGCAACUCACCACUGGAUCUGUUGG